CGAUAGGCAGCAGUUCGUCGAGUACGCAUUCCUUAAGGAAGUAGCUCAUGCUAGCCCCCUUCCGGUCCACGCCGCCGCCCUUCCCCUUGAUCGCUUCCUGAUAGCUAAAAGGCCCGCCGGCCCGCGUCACCUUGCCGAGCCGGGCACCAAGGCCGUUGCGAAUAUCGACAAUGGCCGACGCCGCAAAGCCGGGGAUCGGGGAGAGCUUCUUGCGCCGGUCAAAGUCCGUCACGCUCUCGCGGUCGCUGAACUUCUCAAGGUACUCGCAAAGGAACUGGUCGCCGCCCUUGUAGACAGCACGCCACUUGCACCAAU
rnacentral:misc_RNA from 1 species